GAUGAACGCUAGCGGCAGGCGUAAUACAUGCAAGUCGAACGGGUGUAGCAAUACAUUAGUGGCGCACGGGUGCGUAACGCGUAACCAACCUACCCUUGACUGGGGGAUAGCCCGCCGAAAGGCGGAUUAAUACCGCAUAUACCGGCAGCCUGGCAUCAGGGAACUGGGAAAGAUUUAUUGGUCAAGGAUGGGGUUGCGUAGCAUUAGCUAGAUGGCGGGGUAACGGCUCACCAUGGCGACGAUGCUUAGGGGACCUGAGAGGGUGAUCCCCCACACUGGCACUGAGAUACGGGCCAGACUCCUACGGGAGGCAGCAGUAGGGAAUAUUGGGCAAUGGCCGAGAGGCUGACCCAGCCAUGCCGCGUGCCGGAUGAAGGCCUUCUGGGUUGUAAACGGCUUUUCUCAGGGAAGAAAAAGAGGAUGCGUCCUAAACUGACGGUACCUGAGGAAUAAGCACCGGCUAACUCCGUG
rnacentral:rRNA from 1 species